CAAGUUUUUCGACGCAUGUUCCCUUUUGGCAGGGGACUCUGCCAUGCAUACUGGGCUCCAAAUUUUUGGGUAUUUUAUAUUGUUUUUGAUAAAGGGUUCGCUUUGUUGCUUGCAAAACUGGGAUUUAGCAUCCAAGCACCAACCGCUUCAUUUACUGGCGGACUAGUGGGAGACUUGUCUCCUUUUGCUGUGCUACCUCAGUGUCCUGCUAUUCGCUUUUCCCUCUUUUAUUUGAAGCCCAAGAGUAUCCCAUAAAGGUAUUGCUGCUGCUUCUACACUUCAUUGUCAUGUGGUUUGGAUUUUCGUGGCAUUUCUCGAAGACCAAAGUGGUAGAAGCGACUGUACCAGGGCGGAAAAGAGGUGAUAAAUCGAGAUUAAAGGGGAGUUCUGGCACUGCCAAGAAACAAGGGUUUUAUAUCGGAUGGACCAGAAAGUGUUACCUUUUGGGCCUUUUGGCUGUUGAGACAUGGGGACAGUUUCUACAUCCUAUCGUUUUUGGUACCAGGCUUCCCUUCCUACCCCUCAUGAUGAUUUCUAUAUAUUGUUCGUUAGGGAUGAUGUACUCUUUGAUUUGGCAACUAAGAUGGAUCCUUAGGUCCCAUUGAUUCUAUAAAAUAGCUCAGGUGCUACCAGAUGGCACAUUUAAGUUGCCCUUUACACGCACUGUAUGCUUGAAUGCCUGAAUUAUUCAUUUUUGUUCAUCGUAACUUCUUUGUAAAACAGUUUUGCCCCCAAAAAAACAACACAUUUGGAGACUCAAUGGAAGCCUCACAUUAUAGACCGCUGAGAAACUCUGGUGUGGAAUAAUAGGGCAAGAAAAGACUAAGAACCUCCAAAAUUUAUCUUUAAAUCCCUCUUCAUUAAGAGCAUAAAAUGAACAGGGAAGGUGAUUGUGUUUAGAUACUGAUAUAGAAUAUUUUGAGAUUCUGCAUUGAAAUUGAUUGUUGUAGCUAUCAGCAUAAAUGGCUUGUUUAAGGACAACAAAGGCAAUUACUUUCAUUUGUUCACAAAAAUAUUUAGUUAGAUCAAUUAUAUUCAUCAUGAAUUUUCAAUAUUUUCCAAGCUCUUUAUAUAAUCAGCCAGACUUUUGCCUGGAAAAACAAAAGCUGAAAUUUGUUGGACUUCCAUGACAAUAUAUGGGAUGUUCUAUACGUAGAAGAGGGCCAAUUGUGUAUCAUCAACUAGUUCAAUGGGGAUAGAGUGCAUUCAUGGAAUGUAUAGGUUCUCAUUAAAUUCAGUAAUACUUCCAACAUGGCUCUCUUCAAGCUGCUUAGGAUUUUUUACUCAAAUGGAAGAGAAAUGGAAGGAAGUAGUAAUAUUAAUUUAAUAAGAAAAAGAAAAGAAAAUAAUGUACAGUGAUAAUUCCUAACCUCGUGUAAAUUUGAAUAAUUUAGGUAAAUGACAUUCAUCUAAACAAUUGUCACUGUAACAAAGUCUAAGCAAGAUCGAGAACGGUUUAAAUAUCACCUUCCUUGCUGAUUUUAUAGAAGGUGCAAUCGUUUGGAUGAAAUGGGUGGUUUGUCGUAAGAAAUUUUCUUGAACAUCCAUCAGAAUGAAUAUACAUUUUUCUUUUUUUGAAUUUUUAGGUUUAUCAAAUAUCAUGAGAUGCAAAUUCUGUCAUAAAAGCUACAAAUAUCUGUAAUUGUAUCAUAGAUUAGGAUGUGUCUUAC